UAACUAUAUUCUUACUUAAAAUCUUUUGUUUAUAUGAGAAGCAUCUUUUAUUUUAGUAUAUUAGAGAAAAAUUUUUGUUUGUUAUAGAUAAAUAGUACCGUGAGGGAAUAGAUGAAAUAACUUUAAAAUUUAAUUAUUAAAAAGUAUGUUUAAUUUGCAAUACCUUUUGUAUCAGGGUUAAUCAAAUAUUAUAAAUUUAUUUUUUAGUCUCGAUUUCACAAGAGCUAAUUUGCUAUUAUAAUUAAUGUUGCAUAAUUAUUGUUAAUACAAAUUAGUAAAGAAACUUUAUUCGUUUGUGAGGGUAUCUAGUUUUUUAAGAAUUAAAUUUAAUUUAGUUUUAUUAAUUAAUUUUUAUAUUCAGUAAAAUUUAUUUAAUGAAAUAAAUAUUAUAGGGGAUAAGCUCUAUACUGUUCUAUAAAUUUCAUAUAAAUUAAUUUAUGUAGGGUUAUAAUUAUCCAUCAUUUAUGAGUGUGUUAUAAUUCAUUUUUUAUUUAAUUGAUUUUUUAUAAUUUUAGUAUUCUAUUAAAAUUUAAUAAUCAAUUUUUCAUUAUUAGGAAUAAUGAUUAAAUUAGUAUAAUAAUUGGUUUAUUAAUUUAUUAAACUUAUGAUAAAAUAAGGAACUCGGCAAAUAUAGUUCUCGCCUGUUUAACAAAAACAUGUCCUUUUGAAUUUAAUUUAAGGUCUGGCCUGCCCAGUGAUUAAUUUAACGGCCGCGGUAUAUUGACCGUGCAAAGGUAGCAUAAUCAUUAGUCUUUUAAUAGAGGGCUGGAAUGAAAGGUUUAACGAGGAACUGACUGUCUCAUUUUAUUUGUAUUAAAAUUUAAUUUUUUAGUUAAAAAGCUAAAAUUUAAUUGGAAGACGAGAAGACCCUAUAGAUCUUUAUAUGGUUUAUUAAAUUUGUAACAUAUUAAUACAUUUUAUGAAAGCUGUAUUUUGUUGGGGUGACAAAAAUAUAAAACUAACUUUUUUAUUAAUUAACCAUUAAUUUAUGAAAAUUAGAUCCACUUUUAGUGAUUAUUAGACUAAGUUACCUUAGGGAUAACAGCGUAAUCCCCUUCCAGAGUUCAUAUUUACAAGGGGGCUUGCGACCUCGAUGUUGGAUUAAGAUAAUAAUUAGGUGCAGCCGCUUAAUAUAUAGGUCUGUUCGACCUUUAAAUUCUUACAUGAUCUGAGUUCAGACCGGUUUAAGCCAGGUCGGUUUCUAUCUCCAAUUUUGUUCAUCUUUUAGUACGAAAGGACCAGAGAUGUAAAAUAAUUUUUAUUUCCUGAAUAAUAUUA
rnacentral:rRNA from 1 species